GAUGAACGCUGGCGGCGUGCCUAAUACAUGCAAGUCGAGCGAACAGACGAGGAGCUUGCUCCUCUGACGUUAGCGGCGGACGGGUGAGUAACACGUGGAUAACCUACCUAUAAGACUGGGAUAACUUCGGGAAACCGGAGCUAAUACCGGAUAAUAUAUUGAACCGCAUGGUUCAAUAGUGAAAGACGGUUUUGCUGUCACUUAUAGAUGGAUCCGCGCCGCAUUAGCUAGUUGGUAAGGUAACGGCUUACCAAGGCGACGAUGCGUAACCGACCUGAUAGGGUAAUCGGCCACACUGGAACUAAGACACGGUCCAGACUCCGACGGGAGGCAGCAGUAGGGAAUCUUCCGCAAUGGGCGAAAGCCUGACGGAGCAACGCCGCGUGAGUGAUGAAGGUCUUCGGGUCGUAAAACUCUGUUAUUAGGGAAGAACAAAUGUGUAAGUAACUAUGCACGUCUUGACGGUACCUAAUCAGAAAGCCACGGCUAACUACGUG
rnacentral:rRNA from 1 species